CUAGCAAUGAUCAACAACCAACUUGACAGAGCUUAAAGAAAUGUAAAAAGAAUAAUGCAAAUAUUAUACAAUCCAGGUGUGCAAAGAUCUUAGAUUUAGCCAGAAAGACUCACAGCUGUAAUAACUGUCAGAGGUGAUUCUAACGUGUAUUGACUCAGGUGUGAAUACUUAUGUAAAUUAGAUAUACACAUUUUCACUUUGUCAUUACGGGGAAUUCUGUGUAGAUGAGUGAGAGAAAAAAAUGUAAUCAAUUUUGAAUUCAGGCUGUAAAACAACAAAAUGUGGAAUAACUCAAGAGUUUGAAUCCUUUCUGAAGGCACCGUAUAAUAUGUUAUGCACUUUUAAAAAUGAAACAAAACAUUGUUGAUUGAAUUGAUAAUAUAAUUUAAAUAGGUGGCUAAAGCUGGAGACAACAUAAACUGUGGAAACAUAAUUUACUCUUCUUUUAGAAUGUUACUGUGAAGGAGAUUGACUGCCACUCCUAGAACCCGCCAUAGUUUGAUAAUGGCGAUGUUCACCUUCCUGCACGAGCCCGCUGAGCUGUUUAACCUCAGAGAGAUCUACUGUACACAGCCUGGAUGAUCUACCCAAUUCCAAUUUGGGAAAGUUCUGCAAGAUUCAGUACGACCUGGAUGAGGCAGAGGAGAGGGCUGAUAUUGCUGAGACUCAGGUCAACAAGAUGAGAGCCAAGAGUCGUGAUACCGGUUCCAAGAUGUACAUAGAUUUUAGACCACUGUAUUCGAACAGUGUCUUGUUGACAGCCUUGAAUACAGACGACAACAUACUUCUAUGAAGAUAUUCAUGGCUGGCUGAACGUAUACCAUCAUGGCUGGCUGAACGUAUACCAUCAUGGCUGACUGAACGUAUACCAUCAUGGCUGGCUGAACGUAUACCAUCAUGGCUGACUGAACGUAUACCAUCAUGGCUGACUGAACGUAUACCAUCAUGGCUGACUGAANUGAACGUAUACCAUCAUGGCUGACUGAACGUAUACCAUCAUGGCUGGCUGAACGUAUACCAUCAUGGCUGGCUGAACGUAUACCAUCAUGGCUGGCUGAAUGUAUACCAUCAUGGCUGACUGAACGUAUGCCAUCAUGGCUGACUGAACGUAUACCAUCAUGGCUGGCUGAACGUAUACCAUCAUAGCUGACUGAACGUAUACUAUCAUGGCUGACUGAACUUUUGCAAUAGG
rnacentral:lncRNA from 1 species